rnacentral:rRNA from 1 species
AGCGAACGCUGGCGGCAGGCCUAACACAUGCAAGUCGAGCGGGCACUUCGGGGUCAGCGGCGGACGGGUGAGGAACGCGUGGGAACGUGCCUUCUGGUCUGGAAUAACCCUGGGAAACUAGGGCUAAUACCGGAUAGGCCCUUUUGGGGAAAGGUUUACUGCCGGAAGAUCGGCCCGCGUGUGAUUAGCUAGUUGGUGGGGUAACGGCCUACUAAGGCGGCGAUAAGUAGCUGGUCUGAGAGGAUGAUCAGCCACACUGGGACUGAGACACGGCCCAGACUCCUGCGCGAGGCAGCAGUGGGGAAUAUUGGACAAUGGGCGCAAGCCUGAUCCAGCCAUGCCGCGUGAGUGAUGAAGGCCGUAGGGUUGUAAAGCUCUUUUAUCCGUGACGAUAAUGACGGUACCGGAGGAAUAAGCCCCGGCUAACUUCGUG